rnacentral:lncRNA from 1 species
GUGUGUGUACAUACAUGUAUAUAAGUGUGUGUGUUUAUAUAUAUAUACAUAUAUACACACACACAAACACACAUGCAUAUGUAUAGUUGUUAUGCACACAUUUUGUAUGUCUGCAUAUGGUUAUACAUAAAUACAAUGUUAUUUGGAUAAAAAAAAUUUAAGUAAUGGUGGGUAGAAAAAUACCAAAUUUUUUUUUAAACUUUUGUUGUUUUUCUGUUGUUCUCCCCUCCCGUUCCUCUGGACUCUACAAAUAUUGGUAUUUCUUUGAAAAUUUUAUUCCUUGAUUGUUUGGAUUGAGAAAAUGGCUGUGAGAGAGAAAGGCAAUGAGUAAAAGAAUGAGUGAAAGAGGAAAAGGAAAAAAAAAAGAAAUAACAAAAGGACAAUAACAAAAAACAUAAACAUAUUAAAAAACAACAAAAGGACAUGUUUUAAUGAAAGAAAUAAAAUUAUGGAAAU